UACGAGGGGGGCGAGCGUUGCUCGGAAUUACUGGGCGUAAAGCGCACGUAGGCGGCUUUCUAAGUCGGGGGUGAAAUCCUGGAGCUCAACUCCAGAACUGCCUUCGAUACUGCUGAGCUAAGAGUACUGGAGAGGAGAUUGGAAUUACGGUGUAGCAGUGAAAUGCGUAGAUAUCGUAAGGAAGACCAGUGGCGAAGGCGGAUCUCUGGACAGUUACUGACACUGAGGCACGAAGGCCAGGGAGCAAACCGGG
rnacentral:rRNA from 1 species